rnacentral:rRNA from 1 species
AGAGUUUGAUCAUGGCUCAGGAUGAACGCUGGCGGCGUGCUUAACACAUGCAAGUCGAACGGAGAACCCCUGACGGAGGAUUCGUCCAACUGAUGGGAAUUCUUAGUGGCGGACGGGUGAGUAACGCGUGAGGAACCUGCCUUGGAGUGGGGAAUAACAGUCCGAAAGGACUGCUAAUACCGCAUAAUGCAGUUGGGCCGCAUGGCUCUGACUGCCAAAGAUUUAUCGCUCUGAGAUGGCCUCGCGUCUGAUUAGCUAGUAGGCGGGGUAACGGCCCACCUAGGCGACGAUCAGUAGCCGGACUGAGAGGUUGACCGGCCACAUUGGGACUGAGACACGGCCCAGACUCCUACGGGAGGCAGCAGUGGGGAAUAUUGGGCAAUGGGCGCAAGCCUGACCCAGCAACGCCGCGUGAAGGAAGAAGGCCCUCGGGUUGUAAACUUCUUUUGACAGGGACGAAACAAAUGACGGUACCUGUCGAAUAAGCCACGGCUAACUACGUGCCAGCAGCCGCGGUAAUACGUAGGUGGCAAGCGUUAUCCGG